AGUGAACGCUGGCGGCAGGCCUAACACAUGCAAGUCGAACGGCAGCACAGAGGAGCUUGCUCCUUGGGUGGCGAGUGGCGGACGGGUGAGGAAUACAUCGGACUCUGCCUUAUCGUGGGGGAUAACGUAGGGAAACUUACGCAAAUACCGCAUCCGCCCUAGGGGUGAAAGCGGGGGAUCGCACGCCCUCGCCCGAAAAGCUGAGCCGAUGUGGGAUUAGCUAGUUGGCGGGGUAAAGGCCCACCAAGGCGACGAUCCGUAGCUGGUCUGAGAGGAUGAUCAGCCACACUGGAACUGAGACACGGUCCAGACUCCUACGGGAGGCAGCAGUGGGGAAUAUUGGACAAUGGGCGCAAGCCUGAUCCAGCCAUGCCGCGUGGGUGAAGAAGGCCUUCGGGUUGUAAAGCCCUUUUGUCCGGAAAGAAAAGCACUGGAUUAAUACUUCGGUGUUCUGACGGUACCGGAAGAAUAAGCACCGGCUAACUUCGUGCCAGCCGCCGCGGUAAGAC
rnacentral:rRNA from 1 species